AUGACUUUGAUCAGCGUCUUCAUCUGCACACUGGCCCUCUGGACUCAAGGAUCCAGAGGUCAGGUGACUGUGACUCAGACUCCUUCAGUGCAAACUGUUGCUCCAGGAAACACCGUCACCAUCAACUGUAGAACCAGCAGCUCUACUAGCUCCCUCCACUGGUACCUGCAGAAAUCUGGAGAAGCUCCUAAACUCCUGAUCUACAAUAUUAAUAGCUUACAGUCAGGGACUCCAGCUCGUUUCAGUGGCAGUGGAUCUGGUACUGACUUCACUCUGACCAUCAGAGGAGUCCAGACUGAAGAUGCAGGAGAUUACUACUGUCAGAGUUUCCAUGUGAUCAGUAGUAGCUGGGUGUUCACACAGUGUUAG